AAGACAAUAUUAAGAUGUUGGCUACUAUGAUAUAGUAUUUGGAAUAAGAAUUUCGAUUUUCAAUUAUUUAUAGCUUUUUAUAAAAAAAACUGUUAAUUUUCAAUACUGUUAAAUUUUUUAUUACUCUAUAUGUAAUAUUUUAAUAUUAUUAUAUAUUAUAAAAAAAGAAUAGUUUAAAUGAUGAUCACGUGCGUUUAAGCAUGACAUAACCUUAUAAUAUACCGAUGCAGGUCUCUCAGCAGAAAAGAAGGAUAACAAGAAGCUAGAAGGUCCAUAAUAGGAACAACAAGAAAGAGAGAAAGUAAGAGAUGAUAAAAGUGGAAGGAGAGGAAGUUGAUGGAGAAACAGGAUAGAGAGAAUCCGCUAACAGUGGGCGGCUUUCCUCAAGGAACUCACAGUUAAACGAAUACACAGAGAAUUACGUUGGUAGGUUAACUGUCCGGUUGGAUGGUUGACUGGUGGUACUCUUGGUUUGCCGCUGCUGGCUCG